AGAGUUUGAUCAUGGCUCAGAGUGAACGCUGGCGGCGUGGCUCAGACAUGCAAGUCGAGCGAGAAUAUGCCUUCGGGCAUAGGAAAGCGGCAAACGGGUGAGUAAUACGUAAGUAAUCUGCCUCUAAAACGGGAAUAGCUUGGUGAAAACUGAGGUAAUGCCCGAUACCAACUUGUUUCGCAUGAAACAAGUUUGAAAGGUUUGUAAUGACGUUUAGAGAGGAGCUUGCGGCCUAUCAGCUUGUUGGCGGUGUAAUAGACCACCAAGGCUAAGACGGGUAGCCGGUCUAAGAGGAUGUACGGCCACAUUGAAACUGAGAUACGGUUCAAACAUCUACGGAUGGCAGCAGUUUCGAAUUAUUCACAAUGGGCGAAAGCCUGAUGGUGCGACGCCGCGUGGAGGAUGAAGGUCUUCGGAUUGUAAACUCCUGUCGUUGGGGAGUAAAAAGCUGGUGAAGAAUCAGCCUUGAGUUAACCCAAAGAGGAAGCAGUGGCAAACUCCGUGCCAGCAGCCGCGGUAAUACGGAGACUGCGAGCGUUACUCGGAUUUACUGGGCGUAAAGGGUGCGCAGGCGGUUAUGUGUGUUGGGUUUGUAAGGCUAUGACUUAAUUAUAGUAAGGGCUCAAAACUGCAUGACUAGAGUCUCGGAGGGGUAAGCGGAAUUCCAGGAGUAGUAGUGAAAUGCGUAGAUAUCUGGAAGAACACCAAAGGCGAAGGCAGCUUACUGGACGAAGACUGACGCUCAGGCACGAAAGCGUGGGGAGCGAAAAGAAUUAGAUACUCUUGUAGUCCACGCCGUCAACAUUGUACACUAAAUCUUGGCGUGUCGAUCGUGUCAGGAUUCAAGCUAACGCGAUAAGUGUACCGCCUGAGGACUACGGCCGCAAGGCUAAAACUUAAAGGAAUUGACGGGGACCCGCACAAGCGGUGGAGCAUGUGGCUUAAUUCGAUGCAACGCGAAGAACCUUACCUAAUCUUGACAUGUAGAGGACCGCGUAUGAAAGUACGCUUCCCUUCGGGGCCUUUACACAGGUGCUGCAUGGCUGUCGUCAGCUCGUGUCGUGAGAUGUUCGGUUAAGUCCGGUAACGAGCGCAACCCUUGUCUUUAAUUGCCAGCAAGUUAUGUUGGGGACUUUAAAGAGACAAACUUUAUAGUGGGAAGGUGGGGAUGACGUCAAGUCAGCAUGGCCCUUACGGUUAGGGCUGCACACGUGCUACAAUGCCUGGUACAAAGGGAUGCAAUAUCGCGAGGUGGAGCCAAUCCUAAAAACCAGGCCCAAUUCAGAUUGAAGUCUGCAAUUCGACUUCAUGAAGUCGGAAUCGCUAGUAAUGGUACAUCAGCUACGGUACCGUGAAUACGUUCCCGGGUCUUGUACACACCGCCCGUCAAGUCAUGAAAGCUUGUUUUGCCUAAAGAGCGUUUAACCAACCGUAAGGAGGUGGCGCUUUAAGGUAGGGUGAGUGAUUGGGACUAAGUCGUAACAAGGUAGCC
rnacentral:rRNA from 1 species